rnacentral:rRNA from 1 species
UACAGAGGGUGCGAGCGUUGUCCGGAUUUAUUGGGCGUAAAGGGCUCGUAGGCGGCGUGUCGCGUCGGGAGUGAAAGCCCGUUGCUUAACGGCGGGUUGGCUUUCGGUACGGGCAUGCUGGAGUGCGGCAGGGGAGACUGGAAUUCCGGGUGUAGCGGUGGAAUGCGUAGAGAUCCGGAAGAACACCGGUGGCGAAGGCGGUCUGCUGGGCCAAGACUGACGCUGAGGCGCGACAGCGUGGGGAGCAAACAGG